rnacentral:rRNA from 1 species
AACGAACGCUGGCGGCAGGCUUAACACAUGCAAGUCGAACGCGCCCUUCGGGGCGAGUGGCAGACGGGUGAGUAACGCGUGGGAACCUACCUCAUGGUACGGAAUAACUCAGGGAAACUUGAGCUAAUACCGUAUGUGUCCUUCGGGAGCAAGAUUUAUCGGUGAUGGAUGAGCCCGCGUUGGAUUAGCUAGUUGGUGGGGUAAUGGCCUACCAAGGCGACGAUCCAUAGCUGGUCUGAGAGGAUGAUCAGCCACACUGGGACUGAGACACGGCCCAGACUCCUACGGGAGGCAGCAGUGGGGAAUAUUGGACAAUGGGCGAAAGCCUGAUCCAGCCAUGCCGCGUGAGUGAUGACGGCCCUAGGGUUGUAAAGCUCUUUCGCAGGUGAAGAUAAUGACGGUAACCUGAGAAGAAGCCCCGGCUAACUUCGUGCCAGCCGCCGCGGUAAAAC